UAUUUGAGUAGCGUGGCUGGAGAAAAACGCGUGGCUGGAGGAUCAAUUGAAAAAUGGAUAAGAUAAUAAAACAAAAAAAUUGAUCAAAUUAUGAAGCUGCAGGACCAAUUAUUGGAACAACACAAAAUAUUAGAUAACAGCAAAGCUAAGGAUGCUCAAAUUUGAGUCUACAAGCUCAGCUAGGGGAAGAGAAAAAAUUGGAACGGAACAGUUUCCAAACAGUGAAGGAGGUUUUUCAAAACUCAUCCUUAACUGAACAUGAGGAUGAAUUGGCAUUAGGCGAACACAGUCAGUUAUUCAGUCUACCACCUGACAGUGUGUUAAAGUUACAUUCUGUUAGUGCUGCACUAAAAGAAUUGUUAGUAAUAAAUCCAUGCAGCGAAGGAAGUGAACACUUGUGGGACCAUAUUUGGGCUGAAAAAUGGGUGUGGUAUGGAAACCCAGAAAUAGCACGAGUUCAACAUAAAACAUGAAUAAGAAUAUAAGUGGGGGAUCAAGUCAAGUCUGGAAGUGUUACAGGAUGGAAGAGUGAGCCUACAGAUGAAAAAACACUGAGAGUGCAUUACCAUUAAGGUGUGAGAGUGUUGGUGAAGCUGGGUACUUAAAUGGCCCUUAAAGAUGUUUCAUUUCGUAGGCAUUGCAGCGAUGAACAUCAUACAUGGACUGUUUAGGAAAGGAUUUUCAGCAUAAUGGGAACACAACUAUCAACAAUGCAACAUUCUAGGGGUGCUAUUUUAUCAUUCAAGAGCCUUAUACAAUGGGUUUCAUCUGCAAUUUGUAUGGCCUUUCCCAAGCUUCUGGCAGAAGUUGAAUCUAUAACUCAUCAUAGGUUAACAGUAACAUUGGAUCUGAAAAGAUGCUUCGUUGGGGCAAGACACUGAAUAAAUUGUAAUGAUUGAAUGGAUGACAUGACAUUUCUAUACUUAAUUUGGAUUCCCGAGACGGUAUUUUAUAUUCAAAAAAUUGAAGUGCAUAUCUGGGCUCCCUUCCUUUCCGUAGCCCCGUUUCCCCUUGACUCGUAAUAAGCCCGUAGGGGGUCAUGCCCCUACUGUACGGUAUAUAUAAAAACAACAUAUACCGAGGUUUGGAGGGCUCAGGCCGGAAAGGGGACGUGGAUGUCCGCUUAGUCCGAUGAUGUGUUCACGAGGGGCUCUUUGGCUACCCACAAAUCUGAACUAAAGGUUAAUCGCUCCUGUAAAAAUGUUCCAAAUCUUCAGCUCUUCUUCCGGCUUCUCUUAGCCAAUCACCGGGUAAUCUCCCCGGUGGGUUAACAAGGCAGUGUCUCCCCCUGCCUGGGUUGAUGGCAACUUUUGAAAGGGCUAUUGUGCCUUUUUAAAGUUGCAAAAAUAAUUCAAGUAUGUGAGUUCACAUACUUGAAUUAUUUUUUCUUUUAUUUAUAUAUUUAUUAUUUUAUUUACAAUACUACCUUAAGGUAGUAUUGUGUAUGAUACAUGUGAAUAGUUUUCCCAAAUUGUAGCUAAAAAAUUUCUUAAGUUCACUACAUAUGCAGUUUUCCGUUACAAUCAAAGAUGAAUUUAGCUUUUUCGAUCGAUUUGAAAAUGUCUUAUCUUAUCACGGAGACCAACGUAAAUCACAGAAACGUUCAAUUGAUUCGCUCUGUUUGUCUUCCGCUUUUCUGAACGUUGUCACUUUCAUUAAAACCCGUAAUAUUUUGCAUUGUCUCCCACAUCUUAACAUUCACUUUUUUGGCUAAUUCAGCGCCUUUUAAUUUUCCUUUGCCCGCAACCGUUUGAUUGAUUUAACCCAUUUAAGAGAUUUCUAUGUCGACCGUUGUUUUCAAAUUUUCUUCGCGAAAUUGUCAUCGACACUAACAGCAAACAGGCAUACACAUUAGCGUACUUAUUAUGUGCGCAGAUGCUGUUGUGGAUGUUAUUGAAACAUAUUA